rnacentral:rRNA from 1 species
GAUGAACGCUGGCGGCGUGCCUAAUACAUGCAAGUCGAGCGAACAGACGAGGAGCUUGCUCCUCUGACGUUAGCGGCGGACGGGUGAGUAACACGUGGAUAACCUACCUAUAAGACUGGGAUAACUUCGGGAAACCGGAGCUAAUACCGGAUAAUAUAUUGAACCGCAUGGUUCAAUAGUGAAAGACGGUUUUGCUGUCACUUAUAGAUGGAUCCGCGCCGCAUUAGCUAGUUGGUAAGGUAACGGCUUACCAAGGCAACGAUGCGUAGCCGACCUGAGAGGGGGGUCGGCCACACUGGAACUGAGACACGGUCCAUACUCCUGCGGUAGGCACCAGUAGGGAAUCUUCCGCAAUGGGGGAGAGCUUGACGGAGCAACGCCGCGUGAGUGAUGAAGGUCUUCGGAUCGUAAAGCUCUGUUAUUAGGGAAGAACAAAUGUGUAAGUAACUAUGCACGUCUUGACGGUACCUAAUCAGAAAGCCACGGCUAACUACGUG